GACGAACGCUGGCGGCGUGCCUAACACAUGCAAGUCGAGGGUUUUAGUAGGUAAUACGAAGAACACUGGCGCACGGGUGAGUAACGCGUAGAUCAUCUGCCCCGUGACACUGACAUAACAGUUCUAACGGACUGCUAAUAUCAGAUGUGAUAAGCAAUUAUUAAAGGGUAACCGGUUAGGGAUGAGUCUGCGUCUGAUUAGGUAGUUGGUGAGGGUAACGGCUCACCAAGCCUACGAUCAGUAACUGGUCUGAGAGGACGAACAGUCACACUGGAACUGAGACACGGUCCAGACUCCUACGGGAGGCAGCAGUGAGGAAUAUUGCAC
rnacentral:rRNA from 1 species